CCUACGGGCGGCAGCAGUGAGGAAUAUUGGUCAAUGGACGAGAGUCUGAACCAGCCAAGCAGCGUGAAGGAUGACUGCCCUAUGGGUUGUAAACUUCUUUUAUAUGGGAAUAAAACGUUCCACGUGUGGGAUUUUGUAUGUACCAUAUGAAUAAGGAUCGGCUAACUCCGUGCCAGCAGCCGCGGUAAUACGGAGGAUCCGAGCGUUAUCCGGAUUUAUUGGGUUUAAAGGGAGCGUAGGUGGAUUGUUAAGUCAGUUGUGAAAGUUUGCGGCUCAACCGUAAAAUUGCAGUUGAAACUGGCAGUCUUGAGUACAGUAGAGGUGGGUGGAAUUCGUGGUGUAGCGGUGAAAUGCUUAGAUAUCACGAAGAACUCCGAUUGCGAAGGCAGUUCACUGGACUGCAACUGACACUGAGGCUCGAAAGUGUGGGUAUCAAACAGGAUUAGAUACCCCUGUAGUC
rnacentral:rRNA from 1 species